GACAACGGGAAGAGCUGGUUAGCGGUCAAAAACUAUCAAAGAGAACGCGAAAAACAACCCGUUUGUUCUAAGAAGUUGUUAUGCAAUGUAUAACAAUAAAAUUGUUCGGAAAAUAAAAGCGUUUUUUGCCGGAGCGAGAGAUAUUUCAUCCAUGGAAGCAGAUGAGCGGAUAUGGCUUUGUUUGCAUGGAGGAGACGCGGCUCUCAGCAAACAAUCAUCUGACAUUGAAUCGAGUGAAGUCUGGGAGCCAGUCAGCAAAAAGCCAUAUAUUGAGGGACAUGAUGACAGCACCUCUGAAAAAAAUCGUAAAAACCACUACAUAAUGUGUUUAUGCUUCAGUUACUAUGUGUCAGCAAUUAUUGACAGUGAAUCUGGAUAAGAAAUUGAAUAGGUCUAAGUGUAAGCUUUCAUUAGAGCCCACAAUUAUGACUGUACAUUAAAGCAUUCAAGAAUUACAGCA